rnacentral:rRNA from 1 species
GAUGAACGCUAGCGGGAGGCCUAACACAUGCAAGCCGAGCGGUAUUGUUUCUUCGGAAAUGAGAGAGCGGCGUACGGGUGCGUAACACGUGCGCAACCUGCCUUUAUCUGGGGGAUAGCCUUUCGAAAGGAAGAUUAAUACUCCAUAAUAUAUUGAACGGCAUCGUUUAAUAUUGAAAGCUCCGGCGGAUAGAGAUGGGCACGCGCAAGAUUAGCUAGUUGGUGAGGUAACGGCUCACCAAGGCGAUGAUCUUUAGGGGGCCUGAGAGGGUGAUCCCCCACACUGGUACUGAGACACGGACCAGACUCCUACGGGAGGCAGCAGUGAGGAAUAUUGGUCAAUGGGUGCAAGCCUGAACCAGCCAUCCCGCGUGAAGGACGACUGCCCUAUGGGUUGUAAACUUCUUUUGUAUAGGGAUAAACCUACCCUCGUGAGGGUAGCUGAAGGUACUAUACGAAUAAGCACCGGCUAACUCCGUG